UCCACGCUGUAAACGAUGUCAACUAGCUGUUGGUUAUAUGAAUAUAAUUAGUGGCGCAGCAAACGCGAUAAGUUGACCGCCUGGGGAGUACGGUCGCAAGAUUAAAACUCAAAGGAAUUGACGGGGGCCCGCACAAGCGGUGGAGCAUGUGGUUUAAUUCGAUGCAACGCGAAGAACCUUACCUACCCUUGACAUACAGUGGAUUUUGCAGAGAUGCAUU
rnacentral:rRNA from 1 species